rnacentral:rRNA from 1 species
UCGUCUUCUGAUCACAAGCAUAGAAGAUAAUGCCUGCCCAGUGAAAUUUAAACGGCCGCGUUAGCGUGAGCGUGCUAAGGUAGCGUAAUAAAUAGCCUCUUAAUUGGAGGCCAGUGAAAGGCAAGACUAGGAACACCUGUGCUCUUUAUACCAAAAAAAUUUUUCAUCUAAGUGAAAAGACUUAGAUACUAAAGGAAGACGAAAAGACCCCGCGGAACUUCAUCUUUUCUUACACUACUGCCCAGUAGCACAAAGAUGUAAAAGAUUUGAUUGGGGCAAUCUCGGAACUACCCAAGCUUCCGAUUCCUACUAAAACACAUCUAAAAUUUGGUACAGACAAAACAGCAGUUACCCCGGGGAUAACAGCGUCAUCCAACUUAAGAGUACACAUCGAAAGUUGGGUUUGCGACCUCGAUGUUGGCUUAAGGUUAUCCACAUUAGUGCAACCGCUAUGAAAGGACAGUCUGUUCGACUUAUAUACCCUU